GCGACCCCAGGUCAGGCGGGGCCACCCGCCGAGUUUAAGCAUAUAAAUAAGCGGAGGAGAAGAAACUUACGAGGAUUCCCCUAGUAACGGCGAGCGAACCGGGAUCAGCCCAGCUUGAGAAUCGGGCGGCGGCGCCGUCCGAAUUGUAGUCUGGAGAAGCGUCCUCAGCGACGGACCGGGCCCAAGUCCCCUGGAAAGGGGCGCCGGGGAGGGUGAGAGCCCCGUCCGGCCCGGACCC
rnacentral:rRNA from 1 species